GAUGAACGCUGGCGGCGUGCUUAACACAUGCAAGUCGAACGAGAAGUGAAGACGGAAACCUUCGGGCGGAAGGCUUUAUUUCGAGUGGCGGACGGGUGAGUAACGCGUGGGUAACCUGCCUCAUACAGGGGGAUAACAGUUGGAAACGACUGUUAAUACCGCAUAAGACCACAGCACCGCAUGGUGCGGGGGUAAAAACUCCGGUGGUAUGAGAUGGACCCGCGUUCGAUUAGCCAGUUGGCGGGGUAACGGCCCACCAAAGCGACGAUCGAUAGCCGAUCUGAGAGGAUGACCGGCCACAUUGGGACUGAGACACGGCCCAAACUCCUACGGGAGGCAGCAGUGGGGAAUAUUGCACAAUGGGGGAAAACCUGAUGCAGCGACGCCGCGUGAGUGAAGAAGUAUUUCGGUAUGUAAAGCUCUAUCAGCAGGGAAGAAAAUGACGGUACCUGAGUAAGAAGCCCCGGCUAACUACGUG
rnacentral:rRNA from 1 species